UACGUAGGGGGCAAGCGUUGUCCGGAAUCCUUGGGCGUAAAGCGCGUGUAGGCGGUUCAGUAAGUCUGCUGUGAAAGUCCAGGGCUCAACCCUGGGAUGCCGGUGGAUACUGCUGGGCUAGAGUACGGAAGAGGCGAGUGGAAUUCCCGGUGUAGCGGUGAAAUGCGCAGAUAUCGGGAGGAACACCAAUUGCGAAGGCAGCUCGCUGGGACGUCACUGACGCUGAGACGCGAAAGCGUGGGGAGCAAACAGG
rnacentral:rRNA from 1 species